UACGUAGGGUGCGAGCGUUGCCCGGAUUUAUUGGGCGUAAAGAGCGCGCAGGCGGUCGUUCAAGUCGCGUGUGAAAGCCCCCGGCUCAACUGGGGAGGGUCACGCGAUACUGAUCGACUCGAAGGCAGGAGAGGGAAGUGGAAUUCCCGGUGUAGUGGUGAAAUGCGUAGAUAUCGGGAGGAACACCAGUGGCGAAGGCGGCUACCUGGCACAUAACUGACGCUGAUACGCGAAAGCGUGGGGAGCGAACCGG
rnacentral:rRNA from 1 species